rnacentral:rRNA from 1 species
GCAAGUCGAACGCGAACGGUACUUCGGUACUUAUUAGAGUGGCGGACGGGGGAGUACGCGUGGGAAUCUACCUAGUAGUUGGGACAACCUGGUGAAAACCAGGCUAAUAGCGAAUACGCCCUACGGGGGAACGAUAGCCUCUUCUUGAAAGCUUUCGCUAUUAGAUGAGCCCGCGUUGGAUUAGCUAGUUGGUGAGGUAAAGGCUUACCAAGGCGACGAUCCAUAGCUGGUCUGAGAGGAUGAUC